CCUACGGGAGGCAGCAGUGGGGAAUAUUGCGCAAUGGGCGAAAGCCUGACGCAGCGACGCCGCGUGAGGGAUGAAGGUCUUCGGAUCGUAAACUCCUUUUGUUAGAGAAGAUUAUGACGGUAUCUAACGAAUAAGCACCGGCUAACUCCGUGCCAGCAGCCGCGGUAAUACGGAGGGUGCAAGCGCUACUCGGAAUCACUGGGCGUAAAGAGUGCGUAGGCGGGGUAAUAAGUCAGAUGUGAAACCCUGUAGCUUAACUACAGAACUGCAUUUGAAACUGUUACUCUGGAGUGUGGGAGAGGUAGGUGGAAUGCUUGGUGUAGGGGUAAAAUCCGUAGAGAUCAAGAGGAAUACUCAUUGCGAAGGCGACCUGCUGGAACAUUACUGACGCUGAUGCACGAAAGCGUGGGGAGCAAACAGGAUUAGAUACCCCUGUAGUC
rnacentral:rRNA from 1 species